CAUGAUUGAUGCUUUUUGCACGCUGAAUGAUUUAUUUCCAAGAAACAUAUGAGCACAUCUCUGGUAAACACGAGAUUGAAAGUGGUGCUUUAGCCUGAUUUUUUUGUGGAGAAAUUCAGAUU